CCUGUGCCCCCAUCUCCUCUUCCAUCUUUAUGGGUUGAAAGGUCCACAGAGACAUGCACACGGAAUACAUACAUAGGAUAGUGCAUAAACUUUUGUGGGCUAGAACUGCAUAUUUUUGUUUUUAUUUUUCUUACAGCUGCUGUGUGGAGAGCUAGUCCUGGUGGAAGCCAGCUUCAUAAUGGGUGUUGUAUGAAUAAUAAAAGACUGUUGUAAAUGCACUGGAUGAAAUAUAAAUGUGCUGUAUUUUUACAGUUUCUUGAUCAAAAGAGCUUAUCCAUAACCUAUUGCAGAAAGGGUUUCAUUGAUUUAGUGGCUAAUACAUAGGAUUUAUAUAAAUGUUGAUACAUUUAGUUUGGUCUGAAGCCAAAGGUUUAUCCAAAAUGCAUUUCAAAACAGAACAAGCCCUCAGCUGUAGGCAGAAAACAUGUGAUUUCCUAAAGUGAGAGAUUUAGCAAUAAAAUCACUUAAAUACAAAAUAAGUCAUCCUUCCAUACUAGAAUAAUAAUAAUAUAGGACUUCUUUUAAUAAAAAUGGGCACAGAAACCAGCAUGAUUGGUUAAAAAAAAAAAAAGUUUUAAAAUGAAUUUUUUUAGGAAGGGCUUUACAAGUAGGUAUUUUUACAUGUAAAUACAAAAACCAAAUGACAUUUAAGAAGUUUAAUUUCCUCCAAUUCCUCACAGGUUCCAUGUUUUUUGAAGGAAAGGGUAACACUGUCAUAAAUCAUGAAUCAUGUUGCUUUACCUACAUUGUGCACUGCAUCUACAUUCACCAGCUGCCCACUGAAGACUAGCCAAAUAGCAAGGACUGGUAUAAACCAUGCUGAAUGGGUGCCCAGCGUCAUCCCUGCAAUUAGAGCCACAGGACGAAUACGUACCUGUUGUGCACUGUAA
rnacentral:lncRNA from 1 species